AGCAGCCGCGGUAAUUCCAGCUCCAAUAGCGUAUAUUAAAGUUGUUGCAGUUAAAAAGCUCGUAGUUGAACUUCGGGGUUUACUUAUUGGUCAGGCUUAAUUGUCUGUACUGGUGAGAUGAAUCUCUACCUUCUGAGGAACUUUCAUGUCAUUUAUUUGGUGUGAUUGGAAAUCAGGACUGUUACUUUGAAAAAAUUAGAGUGUUUAAAGCAGGCUAACGUCUGAAUACAUUAGCAUGGAAUAAUGAAAUAGGACGGACUGAUUCUAUUUCGUUGGUUUCUAGGAUCACCGUAAUGAUUAAUAGGGAUAGUUGGGGGCAUUAGUAUUCAAUUGUCAGAGGUGAAAUUCUUGGAUUUAUUGAAGACUAACUACUGCGAAAGCAUUUGCCAAGGAUGUUUUCAUUAAUCAAGAACGAAAGUUAGGGGAUCGAAGACGAUCAGAUACCGUCGUAGUCUUAACCAUAAACUAUGCCGACUAGGGGUCGGACGAAGUUAAUUUUAUAAUGACGCG
rnacentral:rRNA from 1 species